rnacentral:rRNA from 1 species
CGCAAGGUUAAAACUCAAAUGAAUUGACGGGGACCCGCACAAGUAGUGGAGCAUGUGGUCUAAUUCGAAGAUACGCGCAGAACCUUACCAACACUUGACAUGUUCGUCGCGACUUUGAGAGAUCAAAGUUUUCGGUUCGGCCGGACGAAACACAGGUGCUGCAUGGCUGUCGUCAGCUCGUGUCGUGAGAUGUUGGGUUAAGUCCCGCAACGAGCGCAACCCUCACUUUUAGUUGCCAUCAUUAAGUUGGGCACUCUGAAAGAACUGCCAGUGAUAAGCUGGAGGAAGGUGGGGAUGACGUCAAGUCCUCAUGGCCCUUACGUGUUGGGCUACACACGUGCUACAAUGGUAUCUACAACAGGAAGCAAAAUCGCGAGGUUAAGCAAAUCCUUAAAAGAUACCUCAGUUCGGAUUGCACUCUGCAACUCGAGUGCAUGAAGCUGGAAUUACUAGUAAUCGUGGAUCAGCGUGCCACGGUGAAUGCGUUCCCGGGUCUUGACACACCGCCCGUCACACCAUGGGAGUUGGUUCUACCUUAAGGCAAGGCUUAAAACCCUUGACCACGGUAUAGUCAGCGACUGGGGUGAAGUCGUAACAAGGUAACC